rnacentral:rRNA from 1 species
AACGAACGCUGGCGGCGUGCCUAACACAUGCAAGUCGAACGUGAUUAGAGAGCUUGCUCUCUAUGAAAGUGGCGCACGGGUGAGUAACGCGUAGAUAAUCUACCUGAUGAUUCGGGAUAACACUUCGAAAGGGGUGCUAAUACCGAAUAAGCCCACGGAGUCCUUGGACUCUGCGGGAAAAGGGGGGGACCUUCGGGCCUUCCGUCAUCAGAUGAGUCUGCGUACCAUUAGCUAGUUGGUAGGGUAAAGGCCUACCAAGGCGACGAUGGUUAGGUGGUCUGAUAGGCUGCUCAGCCACACUGGAACUGAGACACGGUCCAGACUCCUACGGGAGGCAGCAGUGGGGAAUUUUGCGCAAUGGGGGAAACCCUGACGCAGCAACGCCGCGUGAGUGAUGAAGGCCCUUGGGUCGUAAAGCUCUGACAGAGGGAAAGAAAUGCAGGGGAGCUAAUAUCUCCCUUGCUUGACGGUACCCUCAAAGGAAGCACCGGCUAACUCCGUGCCAGCCGCCGCGGUAA